rnacentral:tRNA from 1 species
GAUGUCGUGGCCGAGUGGUUAAGGUGAUAGACUAAAACUAUUUUGGGAUCUUUCCGCGCAGGUUCGAACCAUCUGACAACG